rnacentral:lncRNA from 10 species
GCUAUUUCUUAGGCUCCUACCACUCACCAGUAGUGCACUUAGACCCAGGCAAGAGGGGCCCCCAUUUUGGUUUCUAUGAUCAAACAGCCUUCUGUAGACAUAGCCCUUCUCUACAAAAUGAGGAAUCCAUAGUGCCAUGCCCAACAGGAACUUAUCUCCCCCACUUCUCCAUAUAUUCCAGAUGUCCAUGAUCCUGGAACACUCUGCAAAUGGAGUCUUCCCUGAGACCACCCUCCAGAGGGCAUGUACCUCAUCCCCAAGGGCUGCCCAAGGAGGCGCUGUUUGCUGAAGAAUCCAGUAGUGGAGGCAGCAACUGUCUGGAAAUGCGUUUGCCUGUGUAUAGACGAUUUACUGCUUCAGGAGAAAUAGAAGAAGCACUUGGGGGAUGAAGAUGCGGUCACUCUCAUGAGCUUUUCUGGAGAGAAAUAUGCAUCGGCUGAGGACACCUAUGUUUGGUUUUGUGCGAAGGGUUUACAAACUGAAAUCACAGAGGUUACAGGAGAAGAGCAGGUGAAGGAAAACAUCAGGUAGCUGCUCCUGGUGGGUAAACGUCUGCCCAGAAGAAAGCUGGGAGUCUUGGGGGUCCUCUUAACAUGGAACGUGAACUUGUGAGACACUUUUUUUUUUUUUUUUUUUUUUUUUUUUUAGGCAGAGUCUCUCUGUUGCCCAGGCUGGAGUGCAGCGGCGCUAUCUCGGCUCACUGCAACCUCCGCCUCUGCCUCCCGAGUAGCUGAAUUACAGGCGCCCGCCACCAUGCCCGGCUAAUUUUUGUAUUUUUAGUAGAGAUGGGGUUUUGCCUUGUUGGCCAGGCUGGUCUCAUACUCCUGGCCUCAGAUGAUCCACCCGUCUCAGCCUCUCAAAGUGCUGGGAUUAUAGGCAUGAGACACUGCGCCCAGCCCGUGAACACUUUUAAGUCACCAAAUACCUGGCAUGAACAUUAUUAGCAAUUUAUCAAAUCAUGGGGGCCUGUUUGGGGUUAUGACAUAUCUGACAAGAAGGAAAAGGUGAUGAUGGAAAAGGGACUGGCCUCCCAGGUUGGCACUGUCAAUCCAAACGUGGGAUCCCAAGAAUGCCCUGCAGUUUCAGGUGCAGAUGCCUCCUGCGUGGUGUUCAGGGAAGUAAGCUCAGUUCAGAAAGAACAGUCAUGCUUCUUGCAGAACACCAGUACACUCAAGCUUUUGUAUUUGUAUUCAGUGGAGGGUAACCUACUCACCCCAUCUUUGAAUAUGUGCAAAAAAUAGAGAAGGAGGCAAUAAAAGAUAAAUAGGGCUGCCAUUAAACAGAACCAGAAAGGCUCCAGAUCCAUCUGAGAUGGGCAGAACAUGUGACAUGUGUGAACAUCAGGAAGGGGCUGGGGGAACUGUGAAGAUCCUGCAGCUCACAGAUCUGUUUCGCAUGGUCUCUACUCCUUUACAUAAAUUUGGCACAGCAAAUCAAGGAAAGGGGAGGGUUUAACAGACUCCUGGACCAUUCCAGAUAACUCACUCCUUCCCACAUAUUGUGUAUUUGUUCUUAUUUCACUGUGUAAGAAUGGUUGUGUUCAAGAGGUUUUUAAGUCAAUGUUUCUUUGAUAUGGUAUAUGCUCUUACUGGGCAUCCACCAAGAAGAUGUACCUAGAACAUGUACGGAGA